GAUGAAGAACGUAGCGAAAUGCGAUACUUGGUGUGAAUUGCAGAAUCCCGUGAACCAUCGAGUCUUUGAACGCAAGUUGCGCCCGAAGCCUCGGCUAAGGGCACGUCUGCCUGGGCGUCACGCAUCGCGUCUCCCCCAAACCGCCAAGGCGGAGGGGAAGGAAGAUGGCUUCCCGUGCCUCACCCGGGCGCGGUUGGCCUAAAUUUGGAGCCCGCGGCACUUAGCUCUCGCGGCGAUAGGUGGUGAACAAGGCCUUGGCCGUGCAAACAACCCGCUGCGAAGCUCUAUGUCACGUGCGCUCGUCGGACCCUUUGAAGUUGCCUUUGGUGACUUAAAACCUUUGCGACCCCAGGUCAGGCGGGGCUACCCGCUGAAUUUAAGCAUAUCAAUAAGCUGAGGA
rnacentral:misc_RNA from 1 species